UCGGGGCGUAGCGCAGCCUGGUAGCGCACCUGCCUUGGGCGCAGGGGGUCGGAGGUUCGAAUCCUCUCGCCCCGAU
rnacentral:tRNA from 4 species